rnacentral:misc_RNA from 1 species
GCACAAUUUAAGCAUUGAAUUAUCUAAUCAAUAAAUGUAAGCAAUCCUUGAUGUUUGAUUUAGCCAACAUUCACUGCCUUAAUCAACACAACCCCAAUAUCAGGUCAAACUACCAUGAAGAAAACAACACCCCAAGAGAAAACAAAAAAUUGUGGAAGACAACUCAAUUUCCAUUCACAUUUUGGUUGAGAAAUGUCAGAGGUUGUAUGGAUACUCAUAAGAAAGUCAUAUAAAAUGAUACUACCAGAUGUGGACAAAUGCAUCCCACAAAGC